GUGCUUGCUUUGGCGGCAUAUAUCCUAAAGUUGGAACAGCACAGAGAAGAUUAGCAUGGCCUUGGCAUGAGGAAGACAUACAAAUUCAUGAAGGAUAACACAUUUUU